ACUCCUGCGGGAGGCAGCAGUGGGGAAUAUUGGACAAUGGGCGCAAGCCUGAUCCAGCCAUGCCGCGUGAGUGAUGAAGGCCCUAGGGUUGUAAAGCUCUUUCACCGGUGAAGAUAAUGACGGUAACCGGAGAAGAAGCCCCGGCUAACUUCGUGCCAGCAGCCGCGGUAAUACGAAGGGGGCUAGCGUUGUUCGGAUUUACUGGGCGUAAAGCGCACGUAGGCGGACUAUUAAGUCAGGGGUGAAAUCCCGGGGCUCAACCCCGGAACUGCCUUUGAUACUGGUAGUCUUGAGUUCGAGAGAGGUGAGUGGAAUUCCGAGUGUAGAGGUGAAAUUCGUAGAUAUUCGGAGGAACACCAGUGGCGAAGGCGGCUCACUGGCUCGAUACUGACGCUGAGGUGCGAAAGCGUGGGGAGCAAACAGGAUUAGAAACCCGGGUAGUCCCAUGA
rnacentral:rRNA from 1 species